rnacentral:rRNA from 1 species
GAUGAACGCUGGCGGCGUGCCUAAUACAUGCAAGUCGAGCGAACAGACGAGGAGCUUGCCCCUCUGACGUUAGCGGCGGACGGGUGAGUAACACGUGGAUAACCUACCUAUAAGACUGGGAUACCUUCGGGAAACCGGAGCUAAUACCGGAUAAUAUAUUGAACCGCAUGGUUCAACAGUGAAAGACGGCUUUGCUGUCACUGAUAGAUGGAUCCGCGCCGCAUUAGCUAGUUGGUAAGGUAAAGGCUUUCCAAGGCAACGAUGCGUUGCCGACCUCGGAGGGUGAUCGCCCACCCGGGAACGUAGCCGCCGUCCAGACGCCUGCGGGAGGCACCAGUAUGGUAUGUUCCGCAGUGGGCGAAAGUCUUGCGGAGCGACGCCGCGUGAGUUAUGAAGGUGUUCGGAUCGUAAAGCUCGGUUACGAGUUAUGAACAAAUUUGUAAGUAACUAUGCACAUCUUGACGGUACCUAAUCAGAAAGCCACGGCUAACUACGUG